UUUCGGGUCUGUCUCGGGUCGGGUCUUUCUUAAAAAAAAUAAAUAAAUUAUGCACGUCGGGUUCGGGUAAAAAGUGAAUCGGGUCACUUCGGGUCGGGUACAUUUCUUUAGACCCAAGAAGACCUCUACUCUGAUGUACAGAAGGUAUGGAUGACAGAAAGAAACAUUGGUGACAGCAAGGGUAGCUGCGACCCAUGAGUAAUGUUGAACAACAUGUUACAGGAAAGUGUAUAAAAAUGUACAUAUUACAUACUCAGUGUGCAUUCUAGUGUAGACAAGUUCAGUGCGUCUUAUACUCUGUGUGAAUCAGAAAACAAACGCAAGCUUACACUUGGAGAAUGUUUCUUGACUUGUUACAGUCUUUGCAUUUUAAAUACUUUUACUUAUUCUAAUACUGUUUGAUUAUUUGAAGGAGAUUUUUUAUCUGUAAUUUAUCUGUAAUUUAUCUGUAUUACAUUUAUCUGUAAUUUAUCUGUAAUACAUUACUUUUACCAAAAACAAGGCCUCCUAUUGUAAGGACCCUGAAAAGACAAGAAAGUCUAAGUCUGACUGCUUCAUCUAAAAGAUUAGGUAGAAGAACUUGAAGAGGAUCCUUUGUUAGAAGACCAAGGGACCUCGAAGGACACCUGUGUUCAAGAAAUACUGGAAUGGAGGGAUGGACUUUAAUGCCGCUACAUUGUUCUACACAUCAAACCAAGCGUAGAAGUCACUCAGUGUUUCUGGGAGAAAGAUGGAGGGAAAGACAUCAGACCUACCAGGACCCAGCUGUAUAAAUAGUGAUGAAGCUGUGGAAGGACCAAAUAUAUUUAGUUGUGAAGACAGUUCUUCUGAUCUGGGAAUGAGGAAGAGAAAGAGGUCAGACUCACCAGAACCCAGCUUGGUGUCCAUGAAAAGUGAUAAAUCAAUGGUUGUGCCAAUUAUAUUUAAAGAUGAAGACAGCUCUCCUGAUCUGAG